rnacentral:rRNA from 1 species
GAUGAACGCUGGCGGCGUGCCUAAUACAUGCAAGUAGAGCGAACAGACGAGGAGCUUGCUCCUCUGACGUUAGCGGCGGACGGGUGAGUAACACGUGGAUAACCUACCUAUAAGACUGGGAUAACUUCGUGAAACCGGAGCUAAUACCGGCUAAUAUAUUGAACCGCAUGGUUCAAUAGUUAAAGACGGUUUUGCUGUCACUUAUAGAUGGAUCCGCGCCGCAUUAGGUAGUUGGUAAGGUAACGGGUUACCAAGGCGACGAUGCGUAGCCGGCCUGAGAGGGUGGUCCGCCACACUGGCACUGAGAGACGGCCGAGACUCAUACGCGAGGCAGCAGUGGGGACUCUUCCCCAAUCGGCGCCAGCGUGACGGGGGACAGCAGAGUGAAUGACGAAGGUCUACGGCCCGUAGAACCCUCCUAUCCGGGAAGACCGCCAGUGUAGGUAGCUAAGGGGGCAGUGCCGGUACCUGGAAAGAAAGCCACGGCUAACUCCGUG